GUUUGUUAAGGAAAAAGUUUCAAAUGCCAAGGAUAACGAAAAUGAAUCAGAUGGUGUUAGUGCACAUACAAAGUGGGUUUUAACAUUAUGUGUAUAACGAAUGGAUCACAACGAUGCAAUUCAUAUGGGUGAUGGAUCAAGGAUAUCGAGAAUUGACCAGUUCCUCGUUUUGUACUCUAACUAUUGACAUUGUACAAAAUACGACUUUGGUACUUUUAGAAACUAUAGCCCAAACUGAAGUUUCG
rnacentral:lncRNA from 1 species